AUUGAACGCUGGCGGCAGGCCUAACACAUGCAAGUCGAACGAGUGGCGGACGGGUGAGUAAUGUCUGGGAAACUGCCUGAUGGAAGGGGAUAACUACUUGAAACUGUAGCUAAUACCCCAUACCAUCAGAUGUGCCCAUAUGGGGUUGGCUUGUUGGUGGGGUAACGGCUCACCAAGGCGACGAUCCCUAGCUGGUCUUAGAGUCUGACCAGCCACACUGGAAGUGAGACACGGUCCAGACUCCGACGGGAGGCAGCAGGGGGGAAUAUUGCACAAUGGGCGCAAGCCUGAUGCAGCCAUGCCGCGGGUAUUAAGAAGGCCUUCGGGUUGUAAAGUACUUUCAGCGGGGAGGCGUUACCCGCAGAAGAAGCACCGGCUAACUCCGUGCCAGCAGCCGCGGUAAUUC
rnacentral:rRNA from 1 species